GGAGCCAGUGUGGUGUAGUGGUUAAGAGCAGUAGACUUGUAAUCUGGUUAACUGGGUUCGAUUCCAGGCUCCUCCA
rnacentral:tRNA from 1 species